rnacentral:rRNA from 1 species
GUAACAGGAAGAAGCUUGCUUCUUUGCUGACGAGUGGCGGACGGGUGAGUAAUGUCUGGGAAACUGCCUGAUGGAGGGGGAUAACUACUGGAAACGGUAGCUAAUACCGCAUAACGUCGCAAGACCAAAGAGGGGGACCUUCGGGCCUCUUGCCAUCGGAUGUGCCCAGAUGGGAUUAGCUAGUAGGUGGGGUAACGGCUCACCUAGGCGACGAUCCCUAGCUGGUCUGAGAGGAUGACCAGCCACACUGGAACUGAGACACGGUCCAGACUCCUACGGGAGGCAGCAGUGGGGAAUAUUGCACAAUGGGCGCAAGCCUGAUGCAGCCAUGCCGCGUGUAUGAAGAAGGCCUUAGGGUUGUAAAGUACUUUCAGCGGGGAGGAAGGGAGUAAAGUUAAUACCUUUGCUCAUUGACGUUACCCGCAGAAGAAGCACCGGCUAACUCCGUGCCAGCAGCCGCGGUAAUACGGAGGGUGCAAGCGUUAAUCGGAAUUACUGGGCGUAAAGCGCACGCAGGCGGUUUGUUAAGUCAGAUGUGAAAUCCCCGGGCUCAACCUGGGAACUGCAUCUGAUACUGGCAAGCUUGAGUCUCGUAGAGGGGGGUAGAAUUCCAGGUGUAGCGGUGAAAUGCGUAGAGAUCUGGAGGAAUACCGGUGGCGAAGGCGGCCCCCUGGACGAAGACUGACGCUCAGGUGCGAAAGCGUGGGGAGCAA